GUAAGUUCCGACCUGCACGAAUGGAGUAACGAUUUCCCUACUGUCUCCACCAUGAACUCGGUGAAAUUGCAUUACGAGUAAAGAUGCUCGUUACGCGCAGCAGGACGGAAAGACCCCGGGACCUUUACUAUAGCUUGGUAUUGGCGUCCGCCAUGGUUUGUGCAGGAUAGGUGGGAGACUGUGAGACCGCCACGCUAGUGGUGGUGGAGUCAUUGUUGAGAUACCACUCUGGCUGUGGCGUGCUCCUG
rnacentral:rRNA from 16 species